GCGGUUAGGCACUCUUCAAAUAGGAAUCCAUUUUCCAACUUUCUACCCCUGCUAUUACAUGUGCUACAAUGGGCGGGACAAAGGGUCGCGAUCUCGCGAGGGUGAGCUAACUCCAAAAACCCGUCCUGAGUUCGGAUUGCAGGCUGCACCUCGCCUGCAUAAAGCAGGAAUCGCUAGUAAUCGCCGGUCAGCCAUACGGCGGUGAAU
rnacentral:rRNA from 2 species